GUGUCAGCCGCCGCGGUAAUACGUAGGGGGCAAGCGUUGUCCGGAUUUAUUGGGCGUAAAGAGCUCGUAGGUGGUUCGGUAAGUCGGAUGUGAAAUCUCCAGGCUCAACCUGGAGGGGUCAUUCGAUACUGCCGUGACUAGAGGUCGGUAGGGGAGUGUGGAAUUCCUGGUGGAGCGGUGAAAUGCGCAGAUAUCAGGAGGAACACCCGUAGCGAAGGCGGCACUCUGGGCCGAUACUGACACUGAGGAGCGAAAGCGUGGGGAGCGAACAGGAUUAGAAACCCCAGUAGUCC
rnacentral:rRNA from 1 species